rnacentral:rRNA from 1 species
AUGGGGAGGGAGAGGCGGAGAUGUUGCCGCCCAUUGUCCAUGUGGUGGCUAUAUAUGCACAGUGACACACAGUUUGCAAAGGAACCGGAGCCCAGCACAGCCAGUUUCAUCUCAACGAGAUACGCUAAGGGCGAGUUUGGUUGCCUGCAUCGAGGCCAACCAGACCCGCGCGGUGCAGCAUCUUUUCGGGCCUCGGUUGUUUGGUUUCCGCAUACACUGUUCAGUCCGCAUAGCACGGUUCUUAAAGUACCCCUGGACCUGGCCCGUUGGGAACGGCCGAAUCGGCAGUUUCCCGAGAGCCAGGCCCGAGCGAUGCUUCGAGACGCACUUGGGUGGCUCUCUGAAGACGUGUGUCUCGAGUUAAUCCCUUUCUCUCUCCUUAAUCCUCAAUCCCCUCUCUCUCCCUCCACUCCAGUGCGCGUUGAUCCCGUCCGUCGGCGCCCGCGGCGACGGCGACGACUGGUGCAGCCGAGAGCCCACACGUCGGACGCCGGCCCCUGCUCCUCGCCGCGCGCGACCUCCAGCGCCAUGAACGCCCGCGUGCCGCCCAUCGGGAGCAAGGAGUCCACGGCCCUCGCGCAGCCGAAGUCCGUAGGCCCGGAUGGCGGACUCCGGGAGGCAGCCUCCGUUCCUGACGGCCUCGUCGGCGAGCGAGUCGCCGGGCACGACCUCGAGGAAGUGGGAGCCGAGGCAGGGGAUGGAGUGCGUCGAGUACCAGCUCUUCCAGGCCAGUCUGCUGGUUGCAGGUUGAGCUCGAUGCAGGCAGGGGAUGAUGUGCGGCGAGCGCGCUCCGCGAGGCGUUCGUGCAGGGCAUGCAGUCCCUGCCCUGCGCGUCCGGCAUCUCGCUCUUCGACACCUGCUACGACCUCGCCGGUGCCCGCGGUGGCGCUGCGGUUCGAGGGCGGCGGGGAGCUGAAGCUGCCGGCGAAGAACUACCUGAUCCCGGUGGACGGGGCCGGGACCUACUGCCUGGCGUUCGCGGGGACGAGCGGGCCCGUGUCCAUCAUCGGCAACGUGCAGCAGCAGAGCGUGUGCGUCAGCUUCGACACAGCCAAGAACACCGUCAGCUUCACCGCCGACAAUCAGCUCAAACUCGUCCACGACCGCGGCGAGCCGGGCGCAGCCACGGCCACGGCGUCGAGCUGGGCGCGGCCACGGCCGCCGGGAGCUGGUGGUGGACACGAUGGGCAGUGGAAGCUCCGGCGCACUCAAGCCCUGCUCAGCCUGGCUCGUUUUUCCCCUCUGAGCCAGGCCCGACAGCGAAAGCAACCAAACACGCCCUAA